GGCCGAGUAGCUCAGUUGGUAGAGCAGGGGAUUGAAAAUCCCCGUGUCGGCGGUUCGAUUCCGUCCCUGGGCACCA
rnacentral:tRNA from 1 species